UACAGAGGUCUCAAGCGUUGUUCGGAUUCAUUGGGCGUAAAGGGUGCGUAGGCGGCGCGGUAAGUCGGGUGUGAAAUCUUGGAGCUUAACUCCGAAACUGCAUUCGAUACUGCCGUGCUUGAGGACUGGAGAGGAGACUGGAAUUUACGGUGUAGCGGUGAAAUGCGUAGAUAUUGGGAAGAACACCGGUGGCGAAGGCGACCAUCUGGACGGAUACUGACGCUGAGACGCGAAAGCGUGGGGAGCAAACAGG
rnacentral:rRNA from 1 species